rnacentral:rRNA from 1 species
GCCGCGGGAACACCGGCAGCUCUAGUGGUAGCUGUUUUAUUGGGCCUAAAGCGUUCGUAGCCGGUUUAAUAAGUCUCUGGUGAAAUCCUAUAGCUUAACUGUGGGAAUUGCUGGAGAUACUAUUAGACUUGAGAUCGGGAGAGGUUAGAGGUACUCCUGGGGUAGGGGUGAAAUCCUGUAAUCCUAGGAGGACCACCUGUGGCGAAGGCGUCUGACUAGAACGAAUCUGACGGUGAGGAACGAAAGCUAGGGGCGCGAACCGGAUUAGAUACCCGGGUAGUCCUAGCCGUAAACUAUGCGGACUUGGUGUGAGGGUGGCUUUGAGCCGUCCUGGUGCCGAAGGGAAGCUGUUAAGUCCGCCGCCUGGGAAGUACGGUCGCAAGACUGAAACUUAAAGGAAUUGGCGGGGGAGCACCACAACGCGUGGAGCCCUGCGGUUUAAUUGGAUUCAACGCCGGAGAUCUCACCAGCGGCGACAGCAGUAUGAUUACCAGGUUGAUGACCUUGUUUGACAAGCUGAGAAGAGGUGCAUGG